rnacentral:rRNA from 1 species
CCCAGUGGCUUUAGCUAAACGGCCGCGGUAUCUUGACCGUGCAAAGGUAGCAUAAUCAUUUGUCUUUUAAAUGGAGACUUGUAUGAACGGCAAAACCUUUUUCAACUGUCUCCCUCUCUAACCUUACAAAUUUCUACCUUUGUGAAGAAGCAAAGAUCAAAAAGAAAGACGAGAAGACCCUGUCGAGCUUUAGUUUCAAGAUGAACCUCUACUAUCAUCCCAGGACUUUGGUUGGGGCAACCAUGGAGAAAAAGAAUCCUCCAGACCGAAUAGAAGAAUACACCUCUCUAUUAAACAUUUAGAGAACCAGAAACUGGUAAUCGGAAAAAGUUACCGCAGGGAUAACAGCGUCAUCUCCUCUAAGAGUCCUUAUUGACGAGGAGGUUUGCGACCUCGAUGUUGGAUUAGGGCAUCCUUUGGGUGCAGAAGCUCUAAACGGUUAGACUGUUCGUCUAUUAAAGCCCUACGUGAUCUGAGUUCAGACCGG